AUACGGAGGGUGCGAGCGUUAAUCGGAAUUACUGGGCGUAAAGCGUACGUAGGCGGUUGGUUAAGUUAGAUGUGAAAGCCCCGGGCUUAACCUGGGAACUGCAUUUAAAACUGGCGAACUAGAGUUGAGUAGAGGGGAGUGGAAUUUCAGGUGUAGCGGUGAAAUGCGUAGAGAUCUGAAGGAACACCAGUGGCGAAGGCGACUCCCUGGACUCGAACUGACGCUGAGGUACGAAAGCGUGGGUAGCAAACGGGAUUAGAAACCCUAGUAGUCCC
rnacentral:rRNA from 1 species